GUAUAUUCAGUGACACAUAUACCAAAAUUGGAAAAUACAGGGAAGACUAGCAGGACCCCUGCACAAGGAUGACAUGCAAGUUCAUGAAGCGUCCCACGUUUUU